ACGGGGUGCAGCAGGCGCGAAACCUUUACACUGCACGCCAGUGCGAUAAGGGAACCCCGAGUGAAAGGGCAUAUCGCCCUUUCUUUUCUGAAUUGUAGGGAGAUUUAGGAACAAGAGCUGGGCAAGACCGGUGCCAGCCGCCGCGGUAAUACCGGCAGCUCAAGUGAUGACCGAUUUUAUUGGGCCUAAAGCGUCCGUAGCUGGCCAUGCAAGUCCGUCGGGAAAUCCACCCGCUUAACGGGUGGGCGUCCGGCGGAAACUGCACGGCUUGGGACAGGAAGGCUCGAGGGGUACGUUCGGGGUAGGAGUGAAAUCCCGUAAUCCUGAACGGACCACCGAUGGCGAAAGCACCUCGAGAGGACUGAUCCGACAGUGAGGGACGAAAGCUGGGGUCUCGAACCGGAUUAGAUACCCGGGUAGUCCCAGCUGUAAACGAUGUUCGCUAGGUGUGUCACUCACUACGAGUGAGUGAUGUGCCGUAGGGAAGCCGCUAAGCGAACCGCCUGGGAAGUACGUCUGCAAGGAUGAAACUUAAAGGAAUUGGCGGGGGAGCAC
rnacentral:rRNA from 1 species